rnacentral:rRNA from 1 species
UGGGGAAUUUUGGACAAUGGACGCAAGUCUGAUCCAGCCAUGCCGCGUGCGGGAAGAAGGCCUUCGGGUUGUAAACCGCUUUUGCCUGGGAAGAAACGAGUUUCUCUAAUACAGAGACUUAAUGACGGUACCUGAAGAAUAAGCACCGGCUAACUACGUGCCAGCAGCCGCGGUAAUACGUAGGGUGCAAGCGUUAAUCGGAAUUACUGGGCGUAAAGCGUGCGCAGGCGGUUGUGUAAGACAGAUGUGAAAUCCCCGGGCUCAACCUGGGAACUGCAUUUGUGACUGCACAGCUGGAGGGCGGCAGAGGGGGAUGGAAUUCCGCGUGUAGCAGUGAAAUGCGUAGAUAUGCGGAGGAACACCGAUGGCGAAGGCAAUCCCCUGGGCCCGCACUAACGCUCAUGCACGAAAGCGUGGGGAGCAAACA